CGAGGGGUGCUAACCCGGCCACCCAACCCAGCAGGUCAGGGGCGGGCCGGCCAUAGGUUCGAAUCCUGCCACCUUUC
rnacentral:tRNA from 1 species